CCCUUAGAUGUUCUGGGCCGCACGCGCGCUACACUGAUGCAUUCAACGAGUCUAAAACCUGCUCUGAUAGGGGUGGGUAAUCUUUUGAAUGUGCAUCGUGAUUGGGAUAGAUGAUUGCAAUUUUUCAUCUUCAACGAGGAAUGCCUAGUAAACGCAAGUCAUCAGCUUGCAUUGAUUACGUCCCUGCCCUUUGUACACACCGCCCGUCGCUCCUACCGAUUAAAUGAUCCGAUGAAUAUCAUGGAUUGAGGAUUAUAGCAGGUUCGCCUGUCUUGAUCUUCGAGAAGUGAAGUAAAUCUUAUCAUUUAGAGGAAGGAGAAGUCGUAACA
rnacentral:rRNA from 1 species